UUCCGGUUGAUCCUGCCGGACCCUACUGCUAUCGGGGUGGGACUAAGACAUGCAAGUCGUGCGUCUCUAAGCCAUGGUAGAGACGCGGCGUACGGCUCAGUAACACGUGGUUAACCUACCCUUAGGACGGGGACAACCCCGGGAAACUGGGGCUAAUUUCUGAUAGGUGAGGAGGCCUGGAAUGGUUCUUCGCCGAAAAGGCGUUGAAACCACGCUUUUCAACGUCGCCUAAGGAUGGGGCCGCGCCCGAUCAGGUUGUUGGUGAGGUAACGGCUCACCAAGCCUAUAACCGGUACGGGCCGUGAGAGCGGGAGCCCGGAGAUGGGCACUGAGACAAGGGCCCAGGCCCUACGGGGCGCAGCAGUCGCGAAAACUCCGCAAUGCGCGAAAGCGUGACGGGGCUACCCCGAGUGCCGUCCGCUGAGGAUGGCUUUUCCCCGGUGUAAUGAGCCGGGAGAAUAAGGAGAGGGCAAGACUGGUGUCAGCCGCCGCGGUAAUACCAGCUCUCCGAGUGGUAGGGACGAUUAUUGGGCUUAAAGCGUCCGUAGCCGGCUUAGCAAGUCCCCUGUUAAAUUCAGCGACUCAAUCGUUGAGCCGCGGGAGAUACUACUAGGCUAGGAGGCGGGAGAGGUCGACGGUAUUCCCGGGGGAGGGGUGAAAUCCUAUAAUCCCGGGAGGACCACCAGUGGCGAAGGCUGUCGGCUAGAACGCGCUCGACGGUGAGGGACGAAAGCUGGGGGAGCGAACCGGAUUAGAUACCCGGGUAGUCCCAGCUGUAAACGAUGCGGGCUAGGUGUUGAGGUGGCUACGAGCCACUUCAGUGCCGCAGGGAAGCCAUUAAGCCCGCCGCCUGGGGAGUACGGCCGCAAGGCUGAAACUUAAAGGAAUUGGCGGGGGAGCAC
rnacentral:rRNA from 1 species